UACGGAGGGUGCAAACGUUGCUCGGAAUCAUUGGGCGUAAAGCGCACGUAGGCGGUUUGUUAUGUCGGAUGUGAAAGCCCUCGGCUUAACCGAGGAAGUGCAUCCGAAACUGGCAAGCUUGAGUACAGAAGAGGGUCUCGGAAUUCCCGGUGUAGAGGUGAAAUUCGUAGAUAUCGGGAGGAACACCAGUGGCGAAGGCGGAGACCUGGGCUGAUACUGACGCUGAGGUGCGAAAGCGUGGGGAGCAAACAGG
rnacentral:rRNA from 1 species